rnacentral:lncRNA from 10 species
UGGAGAACAGCUGGUCCCCAUCGCCUGCACUGCUUGGCCCCACAUUCCUGCUCCAGUCAGCUGCCUCUGGCCUCACCCUUCCUCCAGCUCCCAGCCCCACUGUCCUCCCCACCCCAGGCACAGGCUGGUGGCUCCUUGCUCCUCACUGAACCUUAGGGAGAGCAGGUGUGACUCAGGGCUGAAUCUCUUUUGUCUUGCAGAAAUGGGGGGCCUCCUUCCCGGAGGCUUUUAAUGAGCUCCCCUCCCCUCACCCUACAAGCAAGAGCAAGGGUGUGAGAUUUAUGGUUGCUACUUGUAGAUUCCUGAGCCGCAAAUCCAACAUGCCAUCCCAUAAAUCCCAGACUGCAGGACGGUUUUAUGGGGAAGCCCUGUUUUUAGAAAGGGGUGUGGCUGGUCUCCCUCCUGGCAGAGCUCAGACCUCAGGGAGCCAAGUGCCUGCCUCUCCCCACCCCCAGAGAACAACCAUGACAAAGCACGGGGACAUUGGGGACAUCAGUUGGUGUGGUGGAGAUGCACUGGCUUCCAGGACAGAGAGACUUCCUCUCCUGUGGGGGGCCUCCUGCUUCCCUUCCCUGCUCUGAGGAUCCCCCGUCUCAGCACAGGAGGGUGGCCUGGAAGCCUGGGCAGAUAAUUGUCCCUGACCUGGACCUUAGAUGUUUUCCUGGUCACCGCUCCAGGUGUACAUCAUUGGAGAUGUUUUUUCAAAUGCAUUUUCCCAGGCACCAUUCUCAGAACCUCAGUUCCAGAAUCUCAGGGUGAGACCUAGGAAUCUGAAUUUUUUUACAAUGCUCCCUGGUGAUUCUGAUGUUCAGCUAUCUUUGAAAAUAAUUGGCAUGAGCCACCAUGCCCGGCCAGUUCAUUUGUUCAGUGGAACUGAGUGAGACUUCAGGGCCCACUGACAGAGAUGGGCCUGCCUAGCACUGCAGACCCGAGGCCUCCACUCUGAAAGGUGCCAGCCCGCUAAAGGAAUGAAGG